rnacentral:rRNA from 1 species
CCUACGGGAGGCUGCAGUGAGGAAUAUUGGUCAAUGGGCGCGAGCCUGAACCAGCCAAGUAGCGUGAAGGAUGACUGCCCUACGUGUUGUAAACUUCUUUUAUAAAGGAAUAAAGUUAGGCACGUGUGCCUUUUUGUAUGUACUUUAUGCAUAAGGAUCGGCUAACUCCGUGCCAGCAGCCGCGGUAAUACGGAGGAUCCGAGCGUUAUCCGGAUUUAUUGGGUUUAAAGGUAGCGUAGAUGGGUUGUUAAGUCAGUUGUGAAAGUUUGCGGCUCAACCGUAAAAUUGCAAUUGAUACUGGCAGUCUUGAGUAUAGUUGAGGUAGGCGGAAUUCGUGGUGUAGCGGUGAAAUGCUUAGAUAUCAUGAAGAACUCCGAUUGCGAAGGCAGCUUACUAAACUGUCACUGACAUUGAUGCUCGAAAGUGUGGGUAGCAAACAGGAUUAGAUACCCGUGUAGUC